UACAGAGGGGGCAAGCGUUGUUCGGAAUUACUGGGCGUAAAGGGCGCGUAGGCGGCCUGUUAAGUCGAACGUGAAAUCCCCGGGCUCAACCCGGGAACUGCGUCCGAUACUGGCAGGCUUGAAUCCGGGAGAGGGAUGCGGAAUUCCAGGUGUAGCGGUGAAAUGCGUAGAUACCAUAAAGAACUCCUAUUGCGAAGGCAGCUUACUAGGCUGUAACUGACGCUGAGGCACGAAAGCGUGGGGAUCAAACAGG
rnacentral:rRNA from 1 species